GAGAAUGCACGACAAUUGUGAUCUUAAAUUUAAAAAUGGGUGUAAUGUAAGAUGUGUUUAUUCAUAAUUUUGAUUAAUCAAUUGUGAUAGCUUCUUUUGCUGUUGCUAAUUACUUAUAUCCUAUACUUCUCCUUAAGGUUUUUGUUUUUAUUAAUUGGUUAUAGAUGUAGUUCACCUGGGUUCCUGCUUUUGGCAUUGCAGAUCAAGGAGAAAGAAGAACUC
rnacentral:misc_RNA from 1 species